AUUGAACGCUGGCGGCAGGCCUAACACAUGCAAGUCGAACGAGUGGCGGACGGGUGAGUAAUGUCCGGGAAACUCCCUGAUGGAGGGGGAUAACUACUGGAAACGGUAGCUAAUACCGCAUAUCAUCGGAUGUGCCCAGAUGGGAUGAGCUAGUAGGUGGGGUAAAGGCUCACCUAGGCGACGAUCCCUAGCUGAGCUGAGAGGAUGACAAGCCACACUGGAACGGAGACACGAUACAGACUCAAACGGUAGGGCGGAGUGGGGAAUAGUGCACAAUGAACUGAAGCUUGAUGUGACCAUGCCGCGUGUAUGAAGAGGGCAUUCGUGUUGUAGAGUACUGUCAGCUGGGAGGCGUUACUCUCUGAAGAAGCACCGGCUAACUCCGUGCCAGCAGCCGCGGUAAUUC
rnacentral:rRNA from 1 species